AUUGCUGUAGCAUAAAAUGUAAAUUCCUUUAUUUGAUCUGUUGCAGAAUGUGCGCUGGGCAGCUUUGGGUGGAAUUGUAAAGAAAGCUGUGUUAGUGGAUACUACGGUUAUCUGUGCCAAAAACAAUGCGAAUGUGAUGCUCAUUAUUGUGACCCGGUUACUGGAUGCACAGAAUCCGUUCAUGAGUACACAACUGAAGGUAUGUCUCUAGAAUAUUCUACAACACAGUCCAUCACACAGGAAGCGAUAGAACCCGUAAAGAAAUUUCAUACCACGCCUUGUGUGUGUAGUCGUUCGUGUUUGCCCUACUCUAAAUUUUGUAUUGAUUAUAGGAGUUACGGAAUUGAUCACUCUUCGUUAUCUUCACCUUUUUAUAUACAAGGACAAAAUUAUUGAAAUUAAACCCAAGAUAUACAUAUGUACUAUACACUCUAGAAAGAAUGUUUCUGAUGAAAAACAUUCACACCAUCAUGGCAUCAUUCAUACCAGUACAAUUGCCUACAGUAACUAGAUAUGUCUCUUGUUGAUACCAUGUUUUUUUUUAUAGAUUGAUUGAGUUUCAUUAUUAUUGUUUUUCCAUCUACAACUGUCAUUUUAUUUUCACUUCUAAUUCCGUGCAUUUCCUGAAAUACCAAUCACUACACAUGUUAAUGAUCGUAAGAAUGCACGGUCCGCGGGUUGAGAAUUGAACGCACGGUAAUCCAGUUGCUUACAUCGUAAGUAUCAAAUUAUUUCGAGCGAUGAAUAAAUUGUGUUACAAUGGGUUUGGUUUCUUAGCACAAAAGCAUAGGAUUUUCUUGUAUUAAAAUUCCAUGAUGAUAUAUAUAUUUUGUUAUGUUGAAGAUGACCAUUGUUUCCAAGGAACUGUAAUUCAACAGAUUGUGACUCUAAGUGUAGAAAAGUAUGCGUUCGGACAACGAAGCCGAAUUCGCUCCUUCCUCUUCAACGACUAGCGCAGUACUUUUGGAGAACUUAACAAUCAUAAUAAAAAUAAUCUUUAUUUAUUCAGCAUUGUAUUAUUAAUUAUUAUAAAAGGUAGUUUACAUUCUAACCCUCUCUUCAGGGCUAGAGCAUAGGUCUUCAAUAUCCCUUGGUUAUCGGAAGAGGAAAUUAAAUGGAGUGGUCCUUCUGCAAAUACAUAAGUCCCGUGUCA